GCAGUGGAGGGAGAGGGGGAACCUGGAGCGGACUCCUCACCCACCGGAGCCCGAGCCCCACCCGAGGCUCCACGCCACAAGCUUGAGAUCCUGACUUGAGCCAAACUCAAGAGUCGACGUGGAACCGACGGAACCACCCAGGAGCCCCUCAAAUGUUCCUAACUGCAACCACAUGCUGUGAACCCUGGGGGGCAGGGGGUAUCUGUGACCCCCAGUCUGCCUUGAAGGGCGGGAGGCCUGCAGGGCCUGAGGAUGGGAACUGAGGAUGUGGGAGGGUGCCUGCAUCGCCUUCCCGCCCGGCGUGGGGACAGGACUCUCCCCCGGGACCCUCGGCCUUCAGGGUGAAGGGCUAAGUGCUGAUUGGACCCCGCCUGCCCACAGUGAUGAUGCGGGACCCCACUCUGGGUGGAACUGUGGUGCCCCCGAGUUCCACCGCUGCCUGGUGCCCACUCUGCAUCCGCAGACCGUCGGAGGCACUCGUGCUCCGGAUCUGGCUCGCAGAUCUCCUGCUCUCCCCAGUAGCCCAGUACUCAUCUCUCCUCAGUACCCCAACUCUCCCACUCUCCCCAGUACCCCGGUACUCCCACUCUCCCCAGUACCCCAGUGCAUAAAGAGGAGGCGCUCACACAGCUACAGGUCACAGGGACACUCGCUGGCCGGCCCACCCACCACCAUCUCUGCGCCGGCCCCAGGCUGGGAGACGUCACCCCCGAGCAUCAGCACGAUGCAGGAGGACCCGGAGACCCUGCUGGCCUUGCAAAGAGCCAAUAUUGUGGCCCAGUACCAUCAGGUGAGGCCCAGAAGGGACCAUAGACACUACACACCCACGAAGGGGGGACUAUACCUGCAAGAGCAGGUGAGGCUCAAGAGGGGAUCAGAGCCAAGGAUGAGCCAGGUCAGCCCAGACAACGACCAUAGUCACCAGGAACAAGUGAGACCCUGGGGAUGGUCCCGGUGUCAGUAGCAACUAAGGGUCCAUCCUGGAUCCUAGUCAUUGGUAGCUGAGGAGCCCAGUCACCAGGUACAGGUGAGGCCCGGGUGGGGACCAGAGUCACCAGGUCCAGAUGAAGACUACAGCUACCAGGUCCAGGUGAGCCCAGGUGGGGACCAGAGUCACCAGGUUCAGGUGAGGCCAAGGUGGGGACCACAGUCGCAGAUCCACAUGAGGCUCAGGUGGAGACCAGAGUCACCUAGGUGAAGCCCAGUUGGGGACUAGAGUCACCAGGUCUGGGUGAGGCCCAAUUGGGGACCAGAGUCACCAGGUCUGGGUGAGGGCCAGGUAGGGAUCAGAGUCACCAGGUCAAGUGAGGCCCAGGUGGGGACCACAGUCACCAGGUCAGGUGAGGCCCAGGUAGGAACCACAGUCACCAGAUGCAGGUGAAGCCCAGUGGGGGACCACAGUCAACGGGUCCAGGUGAGGCCACGGUGGGGAUCACAGUCACCAGUUCCAGGUGAGGUCCAGGUGGGGACCAGAGUCACCAGGUCCCGGUGAGGCCAAGGUGGGGACCAGAGUCACCAGGUUCAGGUGAGGCCAAGGUGGGGACCAGAGUUGCAGAUCCACAUGAGGCCCAGGUGGGGACCAGAGUCACUAGGCCCAGGUGAGGCCCUGUUGGGGACCAGAGUCACCAGGCCCAGGUGAGGCCCAGUUGGGGACCAGUCACCAGGUCUGGGUGAGGCCCAGGUGGGGACCAGAGUCACCAGGUCCGGGUGAGGCCCAGGUGGGGACCAGCGUCACCGGUUCAAGGUGAGGCCCAUGUGGGGACCAUCGUCACCGGGUCCGGUUGAGGGCCAGGUAGGGAUCAGAGUCACCAGGUCAGGUGAGACCCAGGUAGGGAUCAGAGACACCAGGUCCAGCUGAGGCCCAGGUGGGGACCACAGUCACCAGGUCCAGGUGAGGCCCAGGUAGGGAUCAGAGUCACCAGGUCCGGGUGAAGUCCAGUGGGGGACCACAGUCACCGGGUCCA
rnacentral:lncRNA from 12 species